rnacentral:rRNA from 1 species
ACAGCCGUUGCACACGAGUCAGUCGAUCCUAAGCCCCAGGAGAAUUCCGAUGUUGAUGCGCGUCGCUGUAAAAUUCUUGAUGAUGAAAAUCUCGAAUGACCGCAUCGGGCGAAAGGGAAUCCGGUUCCUAUUCCGGAACCCGGCAGCGGAACCGACCAUGCGGGCCAAUCCGUAGCGAUACGGAACUCGUCGGGGUAACCCAAAAGGACCCGGAGACGCCGUCGGAUGAUCGAGGCAGAGUUAUCUGUUCUGUAUGAGCGUUCGAGUUCCCUGGAAUCGCCUAGCGCGGAGAUAGGGUUUGGAACGCG